AGAGGACACCACCGUUGGAUUUGAGCUUCAAGUAUUGUAAUAUCUUACAAGGGAAGUGGCCUUGGCUGCUUAAAGUUACAGCAAGAGUAUGAUUGGUAGGAGAUGACCCAUCCAUGGAGCAUCUUCGAUCCAAAACAACCUUUCAAGUGAAGAGAAGUAAUUAAGUUUCUGGUAUGAAAGCAAGUCCACCAUCGUAUUGGAUUUCAUGAUAAAUAAAUGUGAAGUUGUGAUUCAUAUGUGAUGAGAACACAUUCCAUUACAUAUAA